rnacentral:lncRNA from 1 species
CCCACUUCGUGUCUACCAAAUGACAGCCUGGUGCUCGCUCUUGGUGAUUUGGCCUUGACUUCAGCCAAGCAGCUGAUGCAGACGAAGCCUCCGUUUGCAGGACUGGCAAAGUGCACGCUAAAGAAAGAAGGAAGAAAUUUUUCAAAAAGCAGCUCUGGGGAGGUUUCAUACUCCCCCCCCCCCCCCGCCUUUUUUUAAUUUUUAAGUGAAUAUUUUCCAAAUUUGAUCAGUUCCAGCCCCUCCCUCCACUCCCACCCAACUGCCCUUUUUUCUCUCGUCAAAGCAUAAGCUACAGAGUUACAGUCUCGAGAUUUGGUGUAUCGCUUCCUGCCCCCGCCUCCCCUCCCCGCCCCCGUUCUCCGUCCUCUAUUGAAACACCUCGCCCAGCCUAGCGCACUGAGAGCUCUCAUUUUCCCCCCUUGCUCGGGAUGGUGCCACAGGAGGCUGUGCGGGCCCCGCUCCGCUUCGAAUGGCUGGUCCUAUAGUACCCCUCCUCAGGAAUGUCUCCCCAGUGCAAGGACAAAGACUGAAGAGACUGCUAUAUUGAUGGACUCUCAAGCCAACUAUGAAGUUGAAACAAAGAAAGUGAUCACCUGAAGACACCUCCUCUGCUAAGAAACACCCCCAAAUUGUGCAGCUUCUGCCACUAGAACUCUCAGAACAAGAGACAAUCUUUUCAAGAAACAGAAAAACUCAAUAAUGACAUCUAGAUUUUCAUGAGCCAAGAACUUUCCCUUCCUCAUGUGUAUUCCUCUGUUUGUACUUAAAUUCAUGUGACAUUCAUUUUUUUCCUAGUAUGGAUAUGCUUAUUAAUGCACUUGUUUCAAAAUCCCAAAUUGCACAAAUGUGUUAAUAUUUUAAGAAACAAAAUGAAUCCUACAAGGAGAAUGAUUUUUAGCCACACAUAGGGUUGGAUCUUGAGAGUGACCUACAGAAUAAAAGUACUUUUAAAAUAAAGUAGUCAGAGGCUAUUCAAAGGGUAAAAUAAUCAUAGUACCACAUUGGUCCACUUGACACUAACCAAUCGAUCAUUUUUUUUUAAUCAAGAAAGCUAGAUUCUAUCAGAUAAAAUCACUGCUUCUAAAGAGUUUAAAUCUAGUUAGAAAAAGUUAUAGAAAUGUUUGCAAAGAUAAGUAACAGAUAGAGUCAGUAGAGGAUAAGAUCAAAAACAAAACCAAGCAAAAGAUGAGUUCAGGGGAGUUUGCCAUCAAGUUGGCAAAACUGACUUACUUAGGGAAGAAAGUUAUAAAACAGGAAAAUAUGAGAUGAACCUUGAGUGAUGUGGAAGAUUUAGAUAAAUGGAAAGGAAGGAGAAAAUGGAGUUCUUUAGGUGGUUGUAAUUGGAGGAGGAAAUGAAUACACACAUCUUGUUGACUUAAACCCAGACAUUCAGCAGCUCUCUAUACAUAUCUGGAAAAGACUGCACAGUCACCUCCUGUCUCUCACCCCAGGUAUUACUUAGAAUUAUUAUCAUAUUUCCCUUCCUUUAAAGUAAGUAAGGGUGAUUGGUGACAAUAUGGAGAACUAUGAUUUUUCCAUUAACCUAAUAAUAAUUGGUAUUUAUUGAGUUCUGUUAAGCAUUUUACAUAUUAACUCACUUAAGCCUUUCAACAGCCUUGCAAAAUAGGUAUUAUUAUCCCCAUUUUACAGGCAAGAAAACUGAGGUUUAAGUAACUUGCCGAAGUGCCAUAUACAGGGCUCACAUUCAGUAUUGCAGUUGCAAAGCUCAUGAUCUAUAGUGCCAAGUUGCAAUAUUGUAGUCAAUGUCACAAUUAUUACCCCUUUUUAUAUUCCUUGAUAUUUUUCCAUGGCAAACAAUUAGCUAUUUCAUUUAAUAAUCACCUAAAACUUUUCAGUCUUCUGAUUAAAAUUACGCUGGAGUGAUAGAAUGUAUUUUCAUGAUAGAAAUUGGGAAAAAAAAUGGGGAAUGAAGUUUAUCAGCAUUUCAGACUUGUUUUUUUUUUUUUUUUUUGCAAGACUUUGAUGAGAUUGUUCACUUUUGUCUAUGUAAAAUCCCAAAUCCUUGAGAAUAAAAAAGGGGGAGGUUUAAGUCACUUGUUGCAAUGCCCUUUUUAAUAGAGGCAAUAAAUCUAAAGGCCAUAAAUUUAGAGUGACUUACAGAAGAUCGAACUUUGGAGUGUGGCAGAGUAAGGGAUGGAAACCGGGCCCUCCAGUUCACUAUCAGUAGCUUUUGCACUGGUCUGCCCUUCCUAAAUUAAGUAUGCACUUCAAUUUGAUGAGUGGAAACAGUCUAUCUGGGCAGUAACCAGGGAGCUUUGUGCCUAGUAGAUUGCUUCUGUUCUGCACUUCUUUGGUUUCCCACCUCAAUGUAAAAAAUAGCUAGCAAUGAAGUCCAGAAGUUGUCAAUGGUUCAUCCCCAGAAGAAUGCAUAAUGUCCAAAGUUGUAUGUGUAUGAUGUCUUCAAUGGUAUUAAGUUAUUUCAAAUUCUUAGUUCACCUACAUAAAUCAUUUCUAACAAGCAUCUUCUUAACCAACUUUAUGCACAGUGUAUGUUUGUAAGUGCUUCUGCACGAAUGUUUAUACAUGACUGUUUCCAUAGUACUUAUGUUUUUAAAAAUAUUCAGUCAUUUCCUACUAUAAUCCUCAUGUAUCCAUGUAACUGACUCAAAAAUACUUCAGCCACAGAAAGCUAAAACUGAGCAAAUCUCAUUCUUCUUUUCCAUCCCCUUUGCAUGUGGCUGGCAUUUAGUAAUGAUUAAUAAUAUGGCCAGCUGAAUAACAGAGGUUUGAGACACAAUUCUUUCUCAAAGGAGUCAGCUAAGCUGGGUCUACUUAUGGACAAACAUCUAAAUGUGUGGAAGUAUCUGAUAUUUGACAAUGGUAAAUUUCCACUUAGCUAGCUAGCAUUGUCAGACUUCAAUCUCCUCAUGGCUCUGGCCGUCCUGUUUUAAGCAUGAUAAUUGUUGGCCACAUCUCACAUAGUUCUCAUUGAGUGAGUUCAUAAAUAAACAGGGUUUUUUUUUUUUUUUAAAGAGCAGCCAAGCACAAAGUGUGACUUUGUUGACAUUUUAUGUGACUUUGUCAUAUGUUCCUAACCCCCAAUAAAAGCAAUGUUGCAUCAACUGUGAAAAAAAAAAAAAAA